GCAAAGGCAAUGAAAAGAGCAGUAGUUAUAAAGGAAUACACAGAGAGUUUCCUAGUAGGUGAAAGGGAAGUUAGGAAUUUAUAAUGAAACAAGUCUUGGAGCUGCAUACGGAUCUUAUAAAAAUGUAUUAUAAGUGAUGCUAUGACGUUUGUUCACGUUACAGAACUAAAGUAUGAUUUUUUCUAGUAUUUUAGAAGGAUGGUGUACUUGAUGAGUCUAAGAUGGUGACAUUUUAGAAAAAAAGGGUGGUACCGCAAAAUAGAAUUUUGCCCCUGUA
rnacentral:ncRNA from 1 species